rnacentral:lncRNA from 1 species
UUUUGUCUGUUUUUUAAUUUGCUGUUAGAAAAAAAAUUGUUUUGUCGGUGCCACUGUUUUUUUUUGUCGACUUUAUAUUUCAUAUGAAAGCCCAAAAAGGGCAAAUUUACAAGUGACAUUAACGGUCCAUUCAUUUUUCAAACCUCGAAUUAGCCCAUACGAAACCUACUUUAAUAUAUUAAUUAACCGCCUAGAGAUUCCUUUUAGCUUGCCACGCGUACAAGAUCGAGAGAAGCAAGACACGCGUCAUUCGAUUCUUCUGCAUGGGCCUUAGCACUGAGUCACGCACACCAAAUCACGCGUAACGGACGCGCCACCGCAAGGAAAGUGGAGUUUAUGUCGUAGCAUAUUCCAUUACGUCUCCGAUUUUGCUCCAACUACACUCCUGGGCUCGUUAAUCUUCACUUGAAUAAACCUUCCACCAUAAACCGCGACUGCCUUACUGGAAAAACUCUGUUUCACCGGAAAAUUUGAGCAGAGGAAGCGUUAGUCAAGAAUGAAGAAGACCAUUUAUCGGACCGCAAUCGGCGCCGAUUCUUCUUGAUCUAUUCCAUAAUUGACUGCAAGGAUCCAUCAAACCUCAUCCAUCCUCAAUCAGAGAAGCUUUCUUCAUGCCAUAACUGGCUACUUAACUAGAAAGACUGAAUCUCUUUGUAGGAGGAAUUAAGGUGAGCGGGGAAACACAGAAACCCAUUCAACAGCCUACGGGAUUUUAAUAUGAUCAAGCGGAAAGUUAUCUGAGGGUUCUUUAUCGAAGAUAAAAGGAGAUGAUUGAAGAAACAGCUUCGACAAAGAACGAAAAAAAGAAAAACACGACAAAAAGAAAACAUCGCCAUAGCGAAGGAAAAGGUCCGCAACGGAAGGAAGAUUUUUGGGAAAAUCGCAUUUCAAACCCUCAGAGUAUCACAUUCACGCACUUUAAACAAUGAACGUUUUUGACUAGCACUUUAAACUUUGAAAUUGAUAUUUUUAUCGUAACAAACUUCCAAGUCAACUAAGUGACCUUUACUGUUCAUUUU